UACGGAGGGGGCUAGCGUUGUUCGGAAUUACUGGGCGUAAAGCGCACGUAGGCGGCUUUGUAAGUUAGGGGUGAAAUCCCGGGGCUCAACUCCGGAACUGCCUCUAAGACUGCAUCGCUUGAAUCCAGGAGAGGUGAGUGGAAUUCAUGGUGUAGCAGUGAAAUGCGUAGAGAUCAUGAGGAAGACCAGUGGCGAAGGCGGGUCUCUGGACAGUUCCUGACACUGAGACACGAAGGCCAGGGGAGCAAACGGG
rnacentral:rRNA from 1 species